rnacentral:rRNA from 1 species
UGGGGAAUAUUGCACAAUGGGCGCAAGCCUGAUGCAGCCAUGCCGCGUGUAUGAAGAAGGCCUUCGGGUUGUAAAGUACUUUCAGCGAGGAGGAAGGCGUUGUGGUUAAUAACCGCAGCGAUUGACGUUACUCGCAGAAGAAGCACCGGCUAACUCCGUGCCAGCAGCCGCGGUAAUACGGAGGGUGCAAGCGUUAAUCGGAAUUACUGGGCGUAAAGCGCGCGCAGGCGGUCUGUCAAGUCGGAUGUGAAAUCCCCGGGCUCACCCUGGGAACUGCAUCCGAAACUGGCAGGCUAGAGUCUUGUAGAGGGGGGUAGAAUUCCAGGUGUAGCGGUGAAAUGCGUAGAGAUCUGGAGGAAUACCGGUGGCGAAGGCGGCCCCCUGGACAAAGACUGACGCUCAGGUGCGAAAGCGUGGGGAGCAAACA